ACUAACGCUGAGAUACGAUGUCGAGCUACUACGGUAGUGAAGUCAUUGAUGCCAUGCUUCCAGGAAAAGCCUCUAAGCUUCAGAUUGUAAGGAAUCGUACCCCAAACCGACACAGGUGGUCGGGUAGAGAAUACCAAGGCGCUUGAGAGAACUCGGGUGAAGGAACUAGGCAAAAUGGUACCGUAACUUCGGGAGAAGGUACGCUCUUAUCAGUGAAGUCCCUUGCGGAUGGAGCAGACGAGAGUCGCAGAUACCAGGUGGCUGCAACUGUUUAUUAAAAACACAGCACUGUGCAAAAUCGUAAGAUGACGUAUACGGUGUGACGCCUGCCCGGUGCCGGAAGGUUAAUUGAUGGGGUUAGACUUCGGUCGAAGCUCUUGAUCGAAGCCCCGGUAAACGGCGGCCGUAACUAUAACGGUCCUAAGGUAGCGAAAUUCCUUGUCGGGUAAGUUCCGACCUGCACGAAUGGCGUAAUGAUGGCCACGCUGUCUCCACCCGAGACUCAGUGAAAUUGAAAUCGCUGUGAAGAUGCAGUGUACCCGCGGCUAGACGGAAAGACCCCGUGAACCUUUACUACAGCUUGGCACUGAACAUUGAACCUACAUGUGUAGGAUAGGUGGGAGACUAUGAAAUUGCGUCGCUAGAUGUGAUGGAGUCGUCCUUGAAAUACCACCCUUGUAGUUUUGAUGUUCUAACGUUGGUCCCUGAAUCGGGAUUACGGACAGUGCCUGGUGGGUAGUUUGACUGGGGCGGUCUCCUCCCAAAGAGUAACGGAGGAGCACGAAGGUGGGCUAAACACGGUUGGACAUCGUGUGGUUAGUGCAAUGGCAUAAGCCCGCUUGACUGCGAGAAUGACAAUUCGAGCAGGUGCGAAAGCAGGUCAUAGUGAUCCGGUGGUUCUGAAUGGAAGGGCCAUCGCUCAACGGAUAAAAGGUACUCCGGGGAUAACAGGCUGAUACCGCCCAAGAGUUCAUAUCGACGGCGGUGUUUGGCACCUCGAUGUCGGCUCAUCACAUCCUGGGGCUGAAGUCGGCCCAAGGGUAUGGCUGUUCGCCAUUUAAAGUGGUACGCGAGCUGGGUUUAGAACGUCGUGAGACAGUUCGGUCCCUAUCUGCCGUGGGCGUUGGAAAAUUGAAAGGGGCUGCUCCUAGUACGAGAGGACCGGAGUGGACGAACCUCUGGUGUUCGGGUUGUCAUGCCAAUGGCAUUGCCCGGUAGCUAAGUUCGGAAUCGAUAACCGCUGAAAGCAUCUAAGCGGGAAGCGAGCCUUGAGAUGAGUUUUCCCUGGCACUAUAAGUGUCCUAAAGGGUUGUCGUAGACUACGACGUUGAUAGGCAGGGUGUGUAAGUGCUGCGAGGCAUUGAGCUAACCUGUACUAAUUGCCCGUGAGGCUUAACCAUACAACACCCAAGGGGUUU
rnacentral:rRNA from 1 species